UCAAAACUUAAAAGAAUCACACUUUGUAUAUUUGCCCUAAUCAGACGCCAAAGUAACAAAGACGACUUCUCACUUUUCUCGCUUCCACUCCUCCGCUCCUACGUGACAACCAACGCAUCCCCACAUCAGACUUGUGACCACCAUAUCAGAGCGACGAUGUAGCCUCGCAUCCAACCGAUACAAUCUUCCCCUGGAGGCAGAACUUUAGGUUGUCAAGGGGACGAGGGUAUAUGUUUAUGGAUUUUGUCCAAUGCACUAAUGGUCACCUAUGACCACUGAUGCAAGAGUUAUAUUCCAAAAGAUGAAUCAAGGCACACCAGGUGUUCGACAUAUUGUCCAUUGGAAAACUUCAACUACACCAGAAUGGCCAAAUAUCAAAAUGAAGAAUGAAGUGGAGUAUGUUGAAAUUUCUUUAUAGAUAACAAGGGUGGGUCCAUUGACUCCUUUUCACUCUGCAUUGAUUUGCCCUUGGAUUUGAGUUUUUUUUUGGAUAUCAGAAAAUCGGAAGGGUAUGUAGCAUGAAUAAAAGUGGGAUGAAGGUGGGUAAGUUCUCAAACAAAGCUUGACAAUGUACACAUUUACAUUGCACUACACACAAUUGCAAUUGUCUGUAUGUUUCUUGCAGGCAAGGUUGAAACACUCCUCAUCCUUUGAAAGACGAUGUUAUCCUUGUUUCUUAUGAGAUUAGUAAUAAAAAGGAUCUUGAGGCAAUAAAAAGAAUCAAACAGAAGGUAUGAGAGUUGACGACAAAAUGAGACUUGCCAAUCCACCAUCAACGAGGGUCGAUCAAGUUUCGUGUUUGUUCCCCUCAAGUCGAUAGUAUUGUGUUUUGUGUAUUAGCACAACAUUUGGAAUUAUUGAAUUUUUUAUAGACAUUUGUGUUCUAGAUAUUAAGAAUAUUGUUGUUAGACAAGUUUUAAUUGAAAUAAUGAUAUUAUGUGUUCCAUUUUGUA